UACGUAGGGUGCAAGCGUUGUCCGGAAUUAUUGGGCGUAAAGAGCUUGUAGGCGGUUUGUCGCGUCUGCUGUGAAAUUUCGGGGCUCAACCCCGAACUUGCAGUGGGUACGGGCAGACUGGAGUGCGGUAGGGGAGAAUGGAAUUCCUGGUGUAGCGGUGGAAUGCGCAGAUAUCAGGAGGAACACCGAUGGCGAAGGCAGGUCUCUGGGCCACUACUGACGCUGAGAAGCGAAAGCAUGGGGAGCGAACAGG
rnacentral:rRNA from 1 species